GACACAGAGCUGGUGGGAUCACGCCAUGGCCUGGGCCCCUCUCCUCCUCGCAGUGCUCGCCCACAGCUCAGGUUCCCUGGUCCAGGCAGCGCUGACUCAGACGCCGCCCUCGCUGUCAGCCAACCCGGGAGACACCGUCCAACUCACCUGCUCUGGGCUUAGCAGCAGCUAUGCUUAUGCUGGCUGGUACCAGCAGAAGGUGCCUGGCACUGCCCCUGUCACUGUCAUCUACUGGAAUGACAGGAGACCCUCGGACAUCCCUUCGCGAUUCUCCGGAUCCUUGUCCGGCUCCACGGGCACGUUAACCAUCACUGGGGUCCAAGCCGAGGACGAGGCUGUCUAUUACUGUGGUAGCUACGAUGGCAGCAAUUAUGUUCCAACGAUGACACAGAGUAAGGGAAAAGUGAUACGGAAACCUCCUGCCAUGGCAGGAGCCAGUCAGGAGUCUCUGCUGUCCGUGUUUGACGGUGGAGCAGGUCCCUGCCAUGGCCCUGUCCUGUGCUGCGGUGGCUGUGCCCGCUGUCCUGCCUCAGCCAACCUGUAG